rnacentral:siRNA from 1 species
UCGCCGCUAAUAUCGUGUCCGGUC